UCUCAGUUCGGAUUGAAGGCUGAAAUUCGCCUUCAUGAAGCUGGAAUUGCUAGUAAUGGCAGGUCAGCAUACUGCCGUGAAUACGUUCCCGGGCCUUGUACACACCGCCCGUCACACCAUGAGAGUUGGGGAUACCCGAAGCCUGUGAGCCAACAGAAAUGAGGCAGCAGUCGAAGGUAGAAUCAAUGAUUGGGGUGAAGUCGUAACAAGGUAGC
rnacentral:rRNA from 1 species